ACCAUUUUUAAUACGAUGUUGUAUUGAUUAAUUAAUUAAAGUUAAUUUUAUACUAGCACAAUCUGUUGCAUGUACAGAGAACAUUCACACAGACACAGUGCACUGUAAACAAUAAAAAUACUUAUAUUCAGCGCGGAACCAUUAUUAACAUAUCUGCAGUACAAUAAAAAAAUACAAUAUCUUGAAAUAACCAUUAUUACCAUAUCUGGAAUAUGAUAUGAAAGGUCCAUUUAAUUAUUAUGUACCAAUAGAGC
rnacentral:lncRNA from 1 species